CAUGAGGACAUGACUGAAGAGGAACUAAAGGACAGUUUCCACAAGCUCAACAUAGAGGCUGGAAAAGUAAUGACGGCAAAUGAUGAUCUCGAAGCAAGUCUCAUCGCAGAAUUGGAAUCCAACUUUGGUGAAGAUGAUGGAAUCACACUGACUGAACAGCAGAAAUCUGACCUGGAAAAGACUGCAAAUGAGUGUGAAGAAAAAGUAAGAGAAGUCAAAGGCUUAAUCCAGGAGACCCUGUGGAGAACCUUUGGAAAGACUGAACUGUUAGUUGCACUUCAAGUAGCGGAAUUAGAAUGUGAACAUGCUGCCACUAUCAAACCAGGAGUGGAGAAGGAAGCAUAUGACUUCACCCUUAACCACCUGAGGGAACUCUUAAAGGCUGCAAAAGAAGCUCAUUGUCACUGGAAAAGAUGGAUCCCUCAUGGAGCACGAGAUGAAAUCCAAGAUCGUCUGAGAGAAUUGGAACUUAGUGUCCCCAAGCUGGUUUCCAGGACAGCAGAGUUCAUUCAUGCAAAGCUAAAAGAUGAAGAAAAGAAAGAUCAAAUUGUAACUUCCCAAAAUUAUUCUUUACCAACCAUCAAGCUGAAACCAACUUCUCUCCCAAAGUUUUUUGGAAACAAACGUGACUUUUAUAGAUGGAGAAAAGACUGGGAAGCACUUCAAAAACAAGGAGAACCAACUGGUUCAAAAGAAGUGAAGAAAGUGCAGCUGCUGGACAGUCUGGAUGAGAAAAUCACGAGAGACCUUCGCUUAACCUCCUAUAGCACUCCAGAAGACAUUUUUCAAGUCCUUGAAAACCGCUAUGGAAAUCAGACCUCUAUUGCAAUUGAAAUUGUGGAAGAGCUACAGAGAAUUCCUGCAGUUAGAGGUCACCAGCCAAGAAGAAUCGUGGAGUUGAUCCAAGCUGUUGAAAAAGCUCUUAAGGAUUUAAGUGAUCUUGGAAAUACUGGAGCUAUUAAGAACCCUCUGGUUACAAAGUCAAUUGAAACUAAGCUCCCUGAAGUUUUGAAGAAGGAAUGGCUCGUUUAUGCAGCUGAUAAAAGGAAUGCUGUGACACCAGAGAAUCGAUUUGAUCACCUGCUUGCAUUUCUGAAAGAUCAAGAAAAUAUUUAUGAGCAACUAGAGCAACUGAGAGAGGAAGAGUCAAGUAGACGAGAGACCCGAAUGGAGCAAAGACAUGCUAGAACCAAGUCAGUCAAAGCAGUUGAUGACUUUGCAAACUGUGUUGUCUGUGGUGACGGAAAACACAGGAAAAGACUUUACUUUUGUAAACAGUUCAGAGCAUUAACAUUAACUGAGAAAAAAGCUGCUGUUAAUAAAAUUGGUGCAUGUAGAAAGUGUUUGGAAAUACAUGAUGACAAAUCAUACUGCAAACCUGGAUUCUUGUGCAAGAAUCAAAGCUGCAGGAAUGGAGAUGAUCCACAUCACUAUUAUCUAUGCCCAAGUUUUGAAGCUAAGAAAAGCAACACAGCCCAGAGGAGGAACCGAUUCGGCAGAGAAGAAGACAAAAGCAGCAGAAAGUAUACAGAGGAGCAAGAAGAAUUUCUUAAGAAAUUGUCACCUGAGUUGGCUAAAGACUGUAGAGAUGUAUUUUCAAACACUGCAUCUAGAACUUUCAAUACAACUCAAAAUCAGUUAAAUCUCCUGAUGGACAGUGGAGUGCAGGAACUGCCAGUGUUAAUGAUGCUCCUUGAAGUAACUGCAAAUGCUGGUCAAAAAAUUGGCACAUUAAUUGAUCUUGCAUCAGAUACAAAUUACAUAACACACAAGGCUGCAAGCAGAUUAAAUCUUAAGAGUGAAGAGAUCACGCUCAUUGUCUAUGGAGUUGGGGGGAUGAAAGUUUGUGUGGAGACAAAACGUUAUCUUUUGAAGAUUCGUGUGAAGACCUCCAAAGGCACCCUUAAACCUUACCAGCUUGUUUGCUAUGGACUUGACAGUAUUGCAGACAUUCAUAAGCAUGUUAAAGCAAAGCAGCUGCAAAGAUUUUUUCCAGAUGUACCACUGGAUGAACUUGAAAGACCUAGAGAAAUAAGCUUACUUAUAAGCCAUAGGGAAGGUCAGUUAACACCACAAAGGAUUAGAGUUGUGGGGAACCUUGUACUGUGGGAUGGUCCCUUAGGAAAAGUGGUUGGAGGAACUCAUCCAGAAUUGUUUGAGGAACUUGCCAUGACUGCUUAUUCCACCAAAACCCACUUUGCAAGGUCAAUGAGGACAGCUGCUGCCAAAUAUGAAGAAUUAAUUAAUGAAAUCCCACAGAAUUCACCAUUAAAUCACCAGGUCUCUAUCCAGCUGAAAGCAUCAAGCACUGCAACUUCAAGCCGAGAUUUCCUGGAGUGGUGGAGAUGGGACAGUAUUGGCGCAGCUUGUGAGCCUAAGUGUGGAGGUUGUCGGUGUGGAAACUGUCAGCCGGAGGAAAGUCGAUGACGCUCGCUGAAGAAAGGGAGCUAGAGGUAGUGAAGGAAGGCCUCACCUACAAUGAAGGAGAUAGCCACACUAACGAACCUCACUGGCAUGCUAGGUACCCAUGGUUGGAGGAUCCAGCAUCCCUUCCAAACAACAGAAACGCAGUUGAAGCUACAUUUUUUAGAACAGAGAAGCAACUGGCUAAAGAACCUGACUGGAAAACUGCCUACACUGAACAAGUGCAUGACAUGCUUCAGCGUGAAGCUGCAAUUAAGUUGUCUGAGGAAGUAAUCAACAAAUGGAAUGGCCCAGUGUGGUAUGUAAGCCACUUAAUUGCUCCAAAUCCACACUCGGUGACAACUCCUGUAAGACUUGUGUGGAAUAGCAGUCAGAAAUUUAAAGGGAUAAGUAUGAAUGACCUGCUGAGAAAAGGCCCAGAUGUCCUGAACCAGAUCCGUGCUGUCCUAUUAAGGUUCCGAGAGGGAGCUUAUGCUGCAUUAGGAGAUAUAAAGAAAAUGUAUAAUUCUGUUUGGCUGGAAGAAAGAGAAGUUCACCUGCACAGGUUUAUUUGGCGUGACUCUGAGGAUGAAAAGGUUGGAGACUAUGCAAUUACAAGAGUGAACAUUGGAGAUAAACCUGCAGGAUGCAUUGCACAGUUGGCGAUGCGAGAAACUGCAAGUUUACCCUCAUUUAUUCACCUUGUAGAGGAGCGACAAGUCCUUCAAAAUAACAGCUAUGUUGACGACAUUCUAGUGUCCCACAAUGAUCCCGACAGACUAAAGCAAAUCACAGAAAAUGUGGAGCGCAUUCUCAAAGCUGGAGGUUUCAAACUAAAACCCUGGGUGUUUUCUGGGCAAAGUGGGAGGAAAAAUUGUAGCAACAAGCAGGAUGAGGAGAAAGUAAAGACCAUGAUUUUACCAAACCAAAUGCGGGAUGAGGACAAUAAAGCACUCGGUCUGGGGUACAUUGUCGAGGAGGACAAACUCCAUGUCAUGGUCAGCAUAAAUUUUUCAAAGAGGAAAAGAAAGAUGCGACUUGGACAAGACCUCCAGCAAGACCAAAUCAGAAGUCAAACUCCAAACCCUCUGACAAGGCGAGAGCUCCUCAGUCAGGUGUCUGGUCUGUAUGAUCCAAUUGGCCUGGUGACUCCUGCGAAACAAAAGGGAGCAAUCCUAGUACGGAAAGCUUUCCAAGAGGCAAAGAAUAUGGAAGCGAAUGUUCUUAUGGAGCAGUGUUGUACCUGAGGUGGGGAUCAACUCAAGACCCAAUCAUUAGGCUGGUGGAAUCCAAGGCUAAGCUGACUCCAUUGGAACAAAGAGGUGAGGCUGUUAAAGCAGAGAUAUGUGGAGCAGUGUUUGCAUCACGCUUAAAGAAGUACUUUGAGAUGCAUUGCCAAAUUAAAAUUGAAAAGUGGUAUCAUCUCAUUGAUAGUCAAACAGUUCUCGGAGCAAUUCAGAGAGAAAGCUAUGGGUUCCAAUCAUUCUUUGCUAACAGGAUUGGAGAGAUCCAGAGCAACACAAGAAUCCAAGAUUGGUGGUGGAUUCCUGGGGAUCAAAAUAUUGCUGACAUCAUUACUCGAGGAGCCAGCCCUCAAGAUCUUGAUCUUAACUCUAAGUGGCAACAAGGCCCAGCAUUUUUAAAAUCUCCAGUUGAAAUUUGGCCUAUUAAAUCACCUAGGCAAAUUGCCAUCAAUGCAAAAGAAAGUAUCACAAAGCUGCAAAAGAAAGCAUUCAUUGCUGUAACCACAAGAACCAGUGUAAAGGAAUCAGGGUUCAAACAAGAAUCACUUGAAAAUCGAACAGAGGUCUUGGCAAAGAAGCAGCGGCCAUCGAUAUCCAUACAGAACCUGGUAGAUGUUAGCCGCUUUAGCAGUUUAACACUAUUGGUCAAGACAAUUGUUUGGGUUUGGAGAGCAGCAAAGAGAUUUAUAGGGAAAAAUCAAGCUGUGAAUAAACCAAAGUGGGAGGCAGUCUGCUCUGCAGGGGUAGUCUCUGUGAGAGAAAGAGAAGAUGCUCUCAGGGAUAUUUUCCUUACUGCUCAGAUGGGUGCCAACUUUCCUAACACAACCAUGGAUAGGUUGGUGAUUUAUCAAGACAAAGAAUCUGGGUUAUUAGUAUGUGGUGGCAGAAUACAGAUCUUUAGAGAAGAUAGAGUUGCAGUUCCCAUCAUACCCCAUGAUGCUUGGGUGUCAACACUGUUGGGCAGAGAAGCUCACAAUGCUGCACAUGAUGGAAUUGCUGGAACCCUAUUGAGGAUGAGGAAAAAAGCCUGGGUUGUAAAAGGACGAAGGAUAGCCCAAAAGAUUGUUGAUAGCUGUAUGGUCUGUAGGAAAGCUCGAGCUUUGAAGUGCCAGCAGUUGAUGGGUGAUUUGCCACCUGAGAGAACUGAGCCUGCUCCUCCUUUCAAGUUCACUUCAGUUGAUCUCUUCGGACCUUAUCAUGUCAGAGAUGACGUCAAAAAAAGGGUGACAAUUAAGGUCUGGGGUGUUGUCUUUUGCUGUAUGGCCAGUAGAGCUAUUCACACCGAAUUGGCAAGCUCUCUUUCCACUGAAAGUUUCUUGAUGGCUUAUCAGAGAUUUACUGCAAUCCGAGGUCACCCACAAAAGAUCUGGUCUGAUGCAGGCACCAAUUUUGUUGGAGCAAAACCAGUUUUAGAGGAGCUCUAUAGAUACCUGGGCACCCAAAAUAUAUCAGGUUUGGAAGAAACUGCAGCAAAGAAUGGGACUGAGUGGGUGUGGAAAAUCCUUCCUGCAGACUCACCUCACAGAAACGGAGCUGCUGAAGCUGCUGUUGGCAUUGUGAAAAGAACUUUCCAGAGUCUUGGUCAAGAAUUCUCACUAACUUUUAGUGAGUUUCACACAGCUCUUUAUAAUGCUGCCAAUCUAGCAAAUGAGCGCCCCAUUGAUGCCAGACUACAGAGUCGAGAGGGUUGUAUUCAGUAUGUCACACCUAACAGCCUUUUGCUCGGCCGAGCAUCCCAGACAGGUGAUGUAAAAAUGUUUGACUUUUCCAGCUAUUCAUUCAAACGACUUGGCGCUAUGCAAAAUGAGGUUACUAAAUUCUGGAAAAGUUGGAGGCAGCUGGCUGGUCCUAAUCUUUUUGUGAGGAGCAAAUGGCACACUUCCCAAAGAAAUGUUGCUGUUGGCGACAUUGUCUGGUUGUGUGACCAAAAUGCACUUAGAGGACAGUUUAUACUGGGCAAAGUUGUAAGUGCUAAUCCCGACAACAAGGGUGUUGUGAGGGACGUAAAUGUCCAGGUUGUCCCAAGUUAUUGCACUCCUAUAACAAAACAUGUCAAGCAAAGAUCAGCUCAUCCACCAAAGAAAGAUAAAAUGAAAACCACCAUUCUUCACAGGGAUGUUAGGAGGCUCAUCGUCUUAAUACCUGUAGAAGAACAAACACAAAGUCAAGCCAAAGAGGAUUAAAAAACCCAGAAAGUGACAGUGGAUCUGCGAUCUUCCCAGUGAUUCCUGGAAAGAUCGAGUGGGAGGUGUGAAGUCAAAUUGGAAAAAAAAAAAAAAAAAAAAUGCGCUCAUUGUGUUCCACACGGACUUAAAUGAGGGACGGACAACGCGGAAAAGAAAGCGGAAAGCGGAAAAGAAAGCCAGACAAAGAAGUCGGGAGUUUGUGGACUCUUUCAAUCAAAGAUCCUGGUCGAGUUGCAGAUCUGGAUGAACUUGUAGACGAGCAGAGAGACAGCCGGUAAGACUCGAGCUUUAUUGUUGAUGAGAUCGGACUGCAAAGCUACUCACGAUCUCCUGUCGGACUUCCAGCUUUACCUGCUCAUUAACACCAUCAACUACAACACGCCUGAAGUAGUAUUGAUUGAUUGAUUUUAUGAAUGAACUGAUUGUUGUAUUUUGAAUAAUGAAUUUAGAUGUUAAGCUUAGCUAUUUAUUAAUUUAGCAUUAUAUUAGAAAUGACAUCUUAAAGGUAUUUAUAUUCAUGAACUUAAUAUUUAUGACUAAUAUUG